AGUGAACGCUGGCGGCAGGCCUAAUACAUGCAAGUCGAACGGCAGCACAGCAGAGCUUGCUCUGUGGGUGGCGAGUGGCGGACGGGUGAGGAAUACAUGGGAAUCUGCCCAGUCGUGGGGGAUAACGUAGGGAAACUUACGCUAAUACCGCAUGCGCCCUUCGGGGGAAAGCCGGGGACCUUCGGGCCUGGCGCGAUUGGAUGAGCCCAUGUCGGAUUAGCUAGUUGGCGGGGUAAAGGCCCACCAAGGCGACGAUCCGUAGCUGGUCUGAGAGGAUGAUCAGCCACACUGGAACUGAGACACGGUCCAGACUCCUACGGGAGGCAGCAGUAGGGAAUAUUGGACAAUGGGCGCAAGCCUGAUCCAGCCAUGCCGCGUGAGUGAAGAAGGCCUUCGGGUUGUAAAGCUCUUUUGUCCGGAAAGAAAAGCAUCCAGUUAAUACCUGGGUGUCCUGACGGUACCGGAAGAAUAAGCACCGGCUAACUUCGUGCCAGCAGCCGCGGUAACAC
rnacentral:rRNA from 1 species